rnacentral:rRNA from 1 species
CCUACGGGAGGCAGCAGUCGGGAAUAUUGCGCAAUGGAGGAAACUCUGACGCAGUGACGCCGCGUGCAGGAAGAAGGUUUUCGGAUUGUAAACUUCUGUAAACAGGGAAGAAAAUAGACAGAACCGGUAAAAUAAGCUCCGGCUAACUACGUGCAAGCAGCCGCGGUAAUACGUAGGGAGCAAGCGUCAUCCGGAUUUAUUGGGUGUAAAGGGUGAGUAGACGGAGAAGCAAGUUAGUUGUGAAAUCCCUCGGCUGAACUGAGGAACUGCAUAUAAAACUAUUUCCCUUGAGUACUGGAGAGGAAAGUGGAAUUCCUAGUGUAGCGGUGAAAUGCGUAGAUAUUAGGAGGAACACCAGUGGCGAAGGCGACUUUCUGGACCGUAACUGACGUUGAGGCACGAAAGUGUGGGGAGCAAACAGGAUUAGAUACCCCUGUAGUC